rnacentral:lncRNA from 1 species
UCAAAAAAAUAAUAUAAUAAAUAAUAGUAGUUGAGGUUGGCCACUAUUUAGAAAAUUUAUAUAUAGCUAAACAAGACUAGCUUUUUUAUCUAUUAUCAACCUCUACUGUCAAAAAUGGGGAUCUAGAAAGCUCGCCUACGGAAAAUUUGUAUAGGGAAAGUUUGUAGUGGGAUUACUCAUAUUGGGAAAAUUCGUAUAGAAUAAACUUGGCCGGCGGAAGACUCGCCUUCUUUUAUUUAAUGUAAAUAAUAAUCUCACUUAUGUUAUGCCUAAGGUCUUCGAACCAGAGACGAAAUAAACAUGAUGGAUUAUUCAUAUUGGAACAGACUCAUAGUGGGACGAAAAAACAUAAAAUCAGAAUAGGCAAGAGCAGUGAUUUCCUCUUCGUUAUGAGCCAGGAUCUAUCAUUAGAAGAGAUGGUUGGAUGUGGUAUACGGAUCGUAGAAGAGCACGAGGAAAAGAGAGAUGUAAAAGAGGAAAAAUGUACAGCUCAGUACAUUUGGAUCAACGUAGAAUUGAAAUAGAGAGAUGUGAACGAUGUUCUUCAUUAAUCUUCUUUCUUAUUUGAAGAGUAGGAAGCAGAGUGCACUACGUAGUCACUCAAGAGACUUGAAUCACCGGAGUCUAAAACAGGGAAUUCAUACCUCCAAUGGAUCUCAAGACAAGUUAUGAGACGUUAACAAGUGACUUAUGAACUUCUUCAACGAAUUUUUGUGUGUAUUUUCAUAAUAUGAUACAAUUACAUUUGAAUAUGUAACUUCUUUUGUAGUAGUAAACUUCAGUAAUAUUUAUCAAAUAAUAUGGUUAAUAGAACUUUAUAUAUUCAUUCAUUCCAAUUCAGAAUGAAAAUCCGGGUUCCACUUUAUUAAUGUGUAUAACUAAUAUUAAUGCCAAUUCCUUUGUCAAUUUUUAAUUCCAUUAAUUAAUUUAUUUGUUUUAAUAAAUGUAAAUAUAUAUUUAAACAC